UACGUAGGGUGCAAGCGUUGUCCGGAAUUAUUGGGCGUAAAGAGCUCGUAGGCGGUUUGUUGCGUCGGCUGUGAAAUCCCGAGGCUCAACCUCGGGCCUGCAGUGGGUACGGGCAGACUAGAGUGCGGUAGGGGAGAAUGGAAUUCCUGGUGUAGCGGUGGAAUGCGCAGAUAUCAGGAGGAACACCGAUGGCGAAGGCAGUUCUCUGGGCCGUAACUGACGCUGAGGAGCGAAAGCGUGGGGAGCGAACAGG
rnacentral:rRNA from 1 species